rnacentral:lncRNA from 1 species
CAAAAUUACAAAGUCCAAUCAGGACUUGAAUGAAAUGAUGGGACACCCAAACUCACUGCUUUGUGUCACACACUGCACAUUUUGGGGGGACUUUAUCAUUGCAUUGAACUGCUGUACUGAUAUUUUCCUUUUUCUGUUGUUUUUUUUUUAAAUUCCCAUUUGCUUUGUGGGAUAUCUGUGGAAAGUGCAAGGGAGAACUCUGAAGAUGUAAAAAGUAAAAGACAUUAAUAAAAAAUUUAUUUAGAAAUAAGCAAAGAAAAAUGAACUGGUUUUACAAUGAUAGUAAGGAAUAUCAAAUGGCCAAGCAUGUGCUUCAUUGGUAUCCACACAAUGUCAGGAUAAUGUGAAGGAAGCCCUUAAACAGAUUGAAAGAUUCCCUGUUGGGAAUUUAUAGGAAUACAUAACUAGAGUUUUGUGGGAAUGUUGGGUUCCAGAUAUAAUUUCCAUUUUUGGAGGGAAGACUCUUAUAGAUGAACUCACAGAUUCAUUCCUAUAACAGAAGACUAUAUGCAAAGUACUGUAUUGUGUUUGUUUUGGGUCAAAAAACUACUAAAAAACUACUUUGAGAUUUUUUUUGAGGAGUUUAAAUUCUAUUAGCAGAUUCAAAAGUUGAAUAGUUAAGUAAAUACAAAAUAAUUUGGGAAAGACGUGAUAUCUGAGUUGAGGCUUGAAGGAAGUUAAAGAUUCUAAGAGACAAAGGUGAGGAGCUCAUUCUACAUGUGGAAGACCACCUGUGGAAAAACAAAGAAGUGGGAAAUAGAAUACUGAUUUUGGAAAGCAGAAAAUAGAUUAGUUUUAUUGAAAUGUAGGAGCACUUGAAGAUAAACUGUAUGGUAGAUGUGAGAGGAGAGGAGUGGUUAUAGUAGUAGUCUCUCCUUAACCGAGGAUGACGAUUGUCUUUGUGCGUUUUCAUCUAUGGUGUUUAGAUGAGUGUGCACAAAGACACUUGUGUGUGAAGAUUUAAGUGGAAGAGUCGAUGCAUAGAGACAGUCCCACUCUCUCGGCGUUGGAAGCCUGGGUCCAGUGGCACGAAAAAUCGUUACACCUGGAGACUUCCUCAGCUGCACUGGAUGGCCCUGUUGUCCUUUGUGCUCCAACACGCCCUAAGCAGUCCACAGUGCUUUGCUGCAUCGCCAUCUCAGCCGUUGAACCUUCUUAUUGGUUUCUUUCAUCUGUUCAGCCAAAGCAGUCUUCACAUGCUGGAAAGCUGGGUCUGGAGUCAGAGGAUCUAAGUCAGAAUCUCAUCUCUACUCUUCUCUAGUUGCAUAAACUUGAAUAAGUUGCUUAUCAUCUCUGGUCUUUCGUUUAUCUUCUAUAAAAUAAGGUUGAAGGCAACUUCUAGUGCUAAAUCAAGGAUCCUAUGAACUUAUGCUUUUCCCUAUCCACUUCAAGGUUUUUAUGAGAAUCAAAGGAGAUUAUGUUAAGGGGUUUGUAACUA